AUUGAACGCUGGCGGCAGGCCUAACACAUGCAAGUCGAGCGGAUGAGUGGAGCUUGCUCCAUGAUUCAGCGGCGGACGGGUGAGUAAUGCCUAGGAAUCUGCCUGGUAGUGGGGGACAACGUCUCGAAAGGAACGCUAAUACCGCAUACGUCCUACGGGAGAAAGUGGGGGAUCUUCGGACCUCACGCUAUCAGAUGAGCCUAGGUCGGAUUAGCUAGUUGGUGAGGUAAAGGCUCACCAAGGCGACGAUCCGUAACUGGUCUGAGAGGAUGAUCAGUCACACUGGAACUGAGACACGGUCCAGACUCCUACGGGAGGCAGCAGUGGGGAAUAUUGGACAAUGGGCGAAAGCCUGAUCCAGCCAUGCCGCGUGUGUGAAGAAGGUCUUCGGAUUGUAAAGCACUUUAAGUUGGGAGGAAGGGCAGUAAGUUAAUACCUUGCUGUUUUGACGUUACCAACAGAAUAAGCACCGGCUAACUUCGUGCCAGCCGCCGCUGUAACAC
rnacentral:rRNA from 1 species